rnacentral:lncRNA from 1 species
CCUCCAGCACGCAGGCUUCUGGCAGAGCAUCAGGCUGGGUGCUUCCUUCUCCUAAAAAGGCCAUAGCACACAUCCCCGGGCCAAGUUAAUUUUCUGGAUGGGAAGGAGCGACUAACAGCUGCCUUCUCUGACCAAGUCAAAAACCUCCUUGUGAUGGGGACUGGCUGAGUGGAGGCUUUCCCAUGUUCUGAGACAGGAGCGAAGGAAGAGCGAGCCAGAUGACACUGGGCAGAGAGGCAGAGAAAUGAGCCAGAUACAAAUUGCUGAGCACAGUGCUCAGCACGCAGCAAGCACUCAGUCAACAUUCUUGAUUGUGAUUGCCCAGACUGACAGCGAGCAUCCAUCCAGGGUCCUGGCCCCUUGGUCCGUGCUCUCACCCAGUUCCAACUGAUGUUUUCAGACAUUGAGGAGGCCAUCUGUAGUCUCCACUCAGGCCUCACGGUCCCAUCAAGAACCCAGUGUAGACAUGUGGAUCCCAAGCUACAAGCCAUGCCUCCGAUAUUAAGAGGUGCUGCAGACAGCACAGCUGGAGGAGGAGAACCACAUCUAAGUGUUCUGACGUCAGACACGAAGCUACAGGAGUCACAGUUUGCUCUGUUGGGUUUCAGUCUUGUUUGAUCUGGAAUUUCCUUGCUGACCCGAUGGAAAGCCAGGGGUGAGGUUCAGGAAGUAGAAAGAGAGAAGAGACUCCUAAGGACCCAUCUGCAGGAUCCUACUUUCUCCAGGUGCAGGAUUGGGAGGGGCCCCCAGCUGUUUCUGAUCACAAAUCCUUCGGUUUGGGAGAUGGCA